AUCUGCCCUUCACUCUGGGACAAGCCCUGGAAACGGGGUCUAAUACCGGAUAACACUCUGUCCCGCAUGGGACGGGGUUAAAAGCUCCGGCGGUGAAGGAUGAGCCCGCGGCCUAUCAGCUUGUUGGUGGGGUAAUGGCCUACCAAGGCGACGACGGGUAGCCGGCCUGAGAGGGCGACCGGCCACACUGGGACUGAGACACGGCCCAGACUCCUACGGGAGGCAGCAGUGGGGAAUAUUGCACAAUGGGCGAAAGCCUGAUGCAGCGACGCCGCGUGAGGGAUGACGGCCUUCGGGUUGUAAACCUCUUUCAGCAGGGAAGAAGCGAAAGUGACGGUACCUGCAGAAGAAGCGCCGGCUAACUACGUGCCAGCAGCCGCGGUAAUACGUAGGGCGCAAGCGUUGUCCGGAAUUAUUGGGCGUAAAGAGCUCGUAGGCGGCUUGUCACGUCGGAUGUGAAAGCCCGGGGCUUAACCCCGGGUCUGCAUUCGAUACGGGCUAGCUAGAGUGUGGUAGGGGAGAUCGGAAUUCCUGGUGUAGCGGUGAAAUGCGCAGAUAUCAGGAGGAACACCGGUGGCGAAGGCGGAUCUCUGGGCCAUUACUGACGCUGAGGAGCGAAAGCGUGGGGAGCGAACAGGAUUAGAUACCCUGGUAGUCCACGCCGUAAACGUUGG
rnacentral:rRNA from 1 species